UGUCACUUUUACUGUCAUUUUUAUUUACGAAGUAGUUAUUUGUUUAUAUGUAUAAUAAUUUUAUAAACUAGAGUUUUUUAAAAGCCGCUAAUUUAUUAUUGCAAUUUUAAGGUGAAACAUACAAACAUGAAGAGUAGAAUGGGCCAAAUGUUGUAAUAAAAACUCGUCCAAUUAUCUAUCUGGAAAGCAGCGACGAACGCCCCCACCAACAUAAGAAAUAUGGUACCGGGACCCAAGAUGGUACCUCCCAUGAGCAAUAUCUGGUAACCGAUGUACGGCAUGGAUAUAUUAUCAUUGACUUCGAUGGUUUUUUUAUAAUCCAUUAGAAGAUCCAUGAUGUUAGCUAUUGUAGACGGUACCCAUCGACGACGUUGGUUGAAGAACUCGUUGAAACCUUCGGGGGCGUGGGUGUAAGCAUCCGAAGCGGCCGAAUAUUCGACUCUAUAUCCUCUUUGGAGUAAUAAAGUGCAGAGCCAGCGAUCCUCUCCUUGAUCGUAUUGAACGUAAUGUCUCGCUUCGCCCGAACUGGAAAAGAAGAUUUAAAAUCACUUUUUUUGGGAUGUAAUCAUCUCACCAUGUCGUAUAUUUCUUCAUGACGUUGUCGUCCAUCAGGGCUUUUCCUCGGAAAAGGGAGAAACAACCGGGACUACAUAAUACGCAGCCUAUGACGUGCUCGGUAGCUUUUUGUAACCAAUGCCCAAUGGCGUAUUCGAAAAGUUGAUACCACACCAUCGGUCCUGAUCCAACUGGGUGGAUACGACCGCACGCGGCUCCUAGAUGUAAAAUUAACGUUAAAUAAAUGACAUUUACCAUU